rnacentral:rRNA from 1 species
UACAGAGGGUGCGAGCGUUAAUCGGAACUACUGGGCGUAAAGCGCGCGUAGGCGGCUUUGCAAGUCGGGUGUGAAAUCCCCAGGCUCAACCUGGGAACUGCAUUCGAGACUGCAUUGCUAGAGUAUGGGAGAGGGAAGUGGAAUUUCAGGUGUAGCGGUGAAAUGCGUAGAUAUCUGAAGGAACAUCAGUGGCGAAAGCGACUUCCUGGACCAAUACUGACGCUCAUGUGCGAAAGCGUGGGGAGCAAACAGG